UGUAGACACAGAGUGCUGAAAGGGUCCUCAAAACCGCCCCACAAGUAGGGAGGAGGCGCCAUGAACGUAGCCACUCUCGCGGGCUAGACCGUCGGCAUUGCAACAACAUGGGCUGGCAGCAACUACGGCCAAGAGAGAAGUAUCGUGUGCACCUCGUCUUCAGGAAACACGUUUAAAGGUAAGCACCAAAUACAUCAAAGUUGAUGUUAAACUUAAUACAUAACCCAAUCAGGAGAACAAAGUGGCGGUUCAAGGGGACGCAUCAUCGCCGGAGUCCAUGUCGUGGCCUUCAGGAGCAAGCCUUGCCAACAGGUCUUCCACGUGAACCUCUACACAUAUUGCCAGGGCGGCACGGACCGUCUCCGGCACUGGAUCCAGCACUUUAGUGAAGUCGAAGUCUGGGUCGAGGCAAACGAGGUGGCUGGAGACGUCCGAGGCCGC
rnacentral:lncRNA from 1 species